rnacentral:rRNA from 1 species
GCGUGCCUAAUACAUGCAAGUCGAGCGGACCAAAACGGAGCUUGCUCUGGUUUGGUCAGCGGCGGACGGGUGAGUAACACGUGGGCAACCUGCCCGCAAGACCGGGAUAACUCCGGGAAACCGGAGCUAAUACCGGAUAACACCGAAGACCGCAUGGUCUUUGGUUGAAAGGCGGCCUUUGGCUGUCACUUGCGGAUGGGCCCGCGGCGCAUUAGCUAGUUGGUGAGGUAACGGCUCACCAAGGCGACGAUGCGUAGCCGGCCUGAGAGGGUGACCGGCCACACUGGGACUGAGACACGGCCCAGACUCCUACGGGAGGCAGCAGUAGGGAAUCUUCCGCAAUGGGCGAAAGCCUGACGGAGCGACGCCGCGUGAGCGAAGAAGGCCUUCGGGUCGUAAAGCUCUGUUGUGAGGGACGAAGGAGCGCCGUUCGAAGAGGGCGGCGCGGUGACGGUACCUCACGAGGAAGCCCCGGCUAACUACGUGCCAGCAGCCGCGGUAAUACGUAGGGGGCGAGCGUUGUCCGGAAUUAUUGGGCGUAAAGCGCGCGCAGGCGGUUCCUUAAGUCUGAUGUGAAAGCCCACGGCUCAACCGUGGAGGGUCAUUGGAAACUGGGGGACUUGAGUGCAGGAGAGGAGAGCGGAAUUCCACGUGUAGCGGUGAAAUGCGUAGAGAUGUGGAGGAACACCAGUGGCGAAGGCGGCUCUCUGGCCUGCAACUGACGCUGAGGCGCGAAAGCGUGGGGAGCAAACAGGAUUAGAUACCCUGGUAGUCCACGCCGUAAACGAUGAGUGCUAAGUGUUAGAGGGGUCACACCCUUUAGUGCUGCAGCUAACGCGAUAAGCACUCCGCCUGGGGAGUACGGCCGCAAGGCUGAAACUCAAAGGAAUUGACGGGGGCCCGCACAAGCGGUGGAGCAGGUGGUUUAAUUCGAAGCAACGCGAAGAACCUUACCAGGUCUUGACAUCCCCUGACAACCCAAGAGAUUGGGCGUUCCCCCUUCGGGGGGACAGGGUGACAGGUGGUGCAGGGUUGUCGUCAGCUCGUGUCGUGAGAUGUUGGGUUAAGUCCCGCAACGAGCGCAACCCUCGCCUCUAGUUGCCAGCACGAAAGUGGGCACUCUAGAGGGACUGCCGCCGACAAGUCGGAGGAAGGUGGGGAUGACGUCAAAUCAUCAUGCCCCUAAUGACCUGGGCUACACACGUGCUACAAUGGGCGGUACAAAGGGCUGCGAACCGCGAGGGGACGAAUCCAAAAGCC